AUGUCCCCAAAAUAUCUGCAGAAUAUCCCCAAAAUAUCCCCAAAAAUUCCCAAAAUAUCCGCAAAAAUUCCCAAAAUAUUCCCCAAAAUAUUCCCAGAAUAUCCACAAAAUGUCCCCAAAAAUUCCCAAAAUAUACACAAAAUAUACACAAAAAUUCCCAAAAUAUCCCCAGAAUAUUCCCAAAAUAUCUGCAGAAUAUCCCCAGAAUAUCCCCAGAAUGUCCUCAGAAUGUCCCCAGAAUAUCCCCAAAAUGUCCCCAGAAGAUCCCCAAAAAUUCCCAAAAUAUCUGCAAAAUAUCUGCAAAAUAUCCCCAAAAUGUCCCCAGAAUGUCCCCAGAAUAUCCCCAAAAUAUCCCCAAAAUAUCCCCAGAAUGCCCCCAAAAUAUCCCAAAAAUAUCGACAAAAAUUACCCAAAUAUUCCCCAAAAUAUCUGCAGAAUAUCCACAAAAAUUCCCAAAAUAUUCCCCCAAAUAGCCCCAGAAUGUCCCCAAAAUGUCCCCAAAAUGUCCCCAAAAUAUUCCCAAAAUAUCUCCAGAAUAUCCCCAAAAUAUCCCCAGAAUAUCCCCUAAAUAUCUGCAGAAUAUCCCCAAAACUUCUCAAAAUAUCCCCAAAUAUCCCCAGAACAUUCCCAAAAUAUCUGCAGAAUAUCCCCCAAAAUUCCCAAAAUAUCCCAAAAAUAUCCACAAAAAUUCCCAAAAUAUCUGCAAAAUUUCCCAAAAUAUCCCCAGAAUAUCCCCAGAAUAUCCCCAAAAAUUCCCAAAAUAUUCCCCAAAAUAUCCCCAAAAUAUCUGCAGAAUAUCACCAAAAAUUCCCAAAAUAUCCCCAAAAUAUCCCCAAAAUAUUCCCCAAAAUAUCCCCAGAAUAUCCACAAUAUAUCCCCAGAAUAUCCCCAAAAAUUCCCAAAAUAUCCCCAAAAUAUCCGCAAAAAUCCCCAAAAUAUCUCCAAAAUAUCUGCAGAAUAUCCCAAAAAAUUCCCAAAGUAUCUGCAGAAUAUCCCCCAAAAUUCCCAAAAUAUCCCCAGAAUAUCCCCAAAAAUUCCCAAAAUAUCCCCAAAAUGUCCCCAAAAUAUCCCCAAAAAUUCCCAAAAUAUCUCCAGAAUAUCCCCAAAAUGUCCCCAAAAUAUCCCCAGAAUAUCCCCAAAAUAUCCACAGAAUAUCCCCAAAAUGUCCCCAGAAUAUCUGCAGAAUAUCCCCAAAAUAUCCCCAAAAAUUCCCAAAAUAUCCCCAGAAUAUCCCCAAAAUGUCCCCAAAAUAUCCCCAGAAUGUCCCCAAAAUAUCCCCAAAAUAUCCACAAAAAUUCCCCAAAUAUUCCCCAGAAUAUCCCCAGAACAUUCCCAAAAUGUCCCCAGAACAUCCCCAAAAUAGCCCCAGAAUGUCCCCAAAAUGUCCCCAAAAUAUCCCAAAAAAUUCUCAAAAUAUCUCCAGAAUAUCCCAAAAAAUUCCCAAAAUAUCCCCAAAAUAUCUGCAGAAUAUCCCCAAAAAUUCCCAAAAUAUCCACAAAAUAUUCCCCAAAAUAUCCCCACAAUAUUCCCAAAACAUUCCCAAAAUAUCCCCAAAAAAUUCCACAAAAAUUCCAAAAACAUCCCCAGAACAUUCCCCAAAAUAUCACAAAAAAAAUUCUACAAAAAUGGGAAUUUUCUGCUUUUUUGGGGGGAAAAAAUGGGAAUUUUCUGUGUCUUUUUGGGGGGAUUUUGGGGUGGUUUUGGGGCAGUUUUGGGGUGGUUUUUUGGGAAUUUUUGGGGUGGAUUUUUGGGUGUUUUUGGCAUUUUUUGGGGUAUUUUAGGAGGAUUUGGGGUUUAUUUUUUGGGGGAUUUUUUAGGGGGGGAUUUUGA
ensembl:lncRNA